UCAUUGAUUCUCUGCAACUCCAUCUUCUUGUAUGCAGUCAGCUCCUGCUCUUGCACCUGGCUAGCAGGGAUCCUGGCACCCACUGUGAACAACAUUGGAGACAUGGAGCAGCACAAAGGCGGUGUCUUUGGGGAACUUGUGCAGUGCCCACAGCACCAUCGCCUUGGACCCGCCCACCGCCACGUACACCUGCUCGCUGCCGCCGGAGGAGGAGGAGGGGGAGGAUAGCCCCGACGAGUCGCCCCAGUGCGAGCCGCCCGCCGCGUCCAUGGCAGCUAGCUAGUUAGCUGUGUCGUUCUCUCUUGCUGGUUAGCCAGCAGCUCAGAUUGACUCGUUAUGGUAGGCUGGCAGCUGUACACACACACCUGCUGCCGGCUUGACUUGUUGCUGCCAAGAGUUGCCCGGCAGUUCCCAUGGCAUGGCAGGGGCUAGCUGUGUUCGCCUUUCUGACGGACGACUUGUGCAAGUUCUCUGCUUUGUGAACGAGCGACCGCUACCACGGCUGCAUCCAGUGGCGGACCUAGAAUCACAUGCUUGGGGGUGCCACGGUUCAAAGUUUACACUAAGCAUCAUCAUAAUCUCAACAAAUAGUCUUAAACUAGCAACAACUUGGGAGUAUAUAGUAAAAUUCAUUUUACAAUUUUGGACCCAGGGCACCCCCACUGGAUCCGCCUCUGCUGCAUCAUCGAGCAAGGCACUCACUUCACUUCACUUCCCUACUGCAAAUAUUAUCAUUAGGAUUAUGGGAGUCAAGGGCCUCACGAUCUACAUCUCAAGAAACAUAUAAUCAUCUUCAGGUGUGUAUGCAUGGUACAGUUACGUAUUCGUUUGGUCUCAUAUGUGGUCUGAUAUGUGAUUCUAUUUAUGUAUUUCACAAAUUCAUGCUAGGGAAACAGUGCCAAGAGUUGGUGAUCACUCGAUCACGGAUGGCAAAAUUAUAAAUAUCUAGUACUGCCACUGUAAAGAAAUACAGGGAGAGUACUUACUAAAAUUGACUUGCAU